rnacentral:piRNA from 1 species
UUCUCAAUAUGUUCGAAGAAUUGUGAGU